rnacentral:lncRNA from 1 species
UGGGAAUCUUGUCUGAACAACAAGUUAACUGCUGUUCCCAGUUAUAUCUGGUCUUUCCCACCCCCAAACAUACACAAAAGAUUUUUGUCAUUCUUGGCACUGGACAACAGAAGUGAUAAGACAUGCCAGCAGAACUCUAAAGGCAGAAUGUCCUUCCACCUGUUUUAUGCUGUAAGACAAACUUCCAAGUGCGAGGCAGUGUGGAGGGCUGUUUCCUUGAAUGGCAGCUGAAUGCACCGGCGGGAUCCUUGGCAGCAAUGCCCAGGCACUGAAGCCGGGCAUUCAGGAGAGCUAAAUGGAGAAAAGAAACUUGAGCAAACUGCUUCCUGGAACACUGAGAACCUGAAUGGGAAAUUAAGAAGAACCAGAUUCUUUCUAUUCUUCCACCAGCCAAGAGACCCAUUACAACUUGCUUAUCGUUGGGUAGAGGUUAUAUCCAGGGAAGAGGGAACCGAGGAGAAGUGGAGGAAAGGAGGAAGGCAUGAGAUGUUGGCCCUAACCUAGAUUGUUCCAGAGACUGGAAGUUCAAGACCAAGGUAUAGCAGAGCUGGUGUCUGGUGAGGGCUCUCCUCGUAGGUGGCAGACAGCUGCCUUCUCACUGUGUGCUCACCUGGCCUUUCCUCUGUGUUCCUCAGAUUUUGAAGAUUUGUUUUGAAUCUUGAAGAGAGAGCAGCAAGCCUUUUGGCCUAUGGAUUCCAAGAGUCACAUUCCAACAGGUGAUAUCAAAAGGACAAGGAAGCAGGGAGGGGUGACUUGCACGGAAGGUGCCCAGUGAGAUGUCUCUGCCAUGGAGAUUGUGCUGAUGCCACAAGCAAAGCAUUUGUACCCCUCUCAUCCACAAGAGAAGUCCCUCCGGGUAUUUCAGAUGAUACCUGAAAGGGUGAUAAGGCAGGGAAUCAGAGGCUGACACCGCUAUUGGAUGGACUGGGGGAGUGAAGAUCAAAAGGUCAUUUUCAGGAAAAAAAUAAAUUAGGAAGUACAGGGAUAAGACAGAAGCCACCACCAAUAACUCCACACCUACAGCUCCAAAGCAUGUGAUUCAGAAGGAUCCUUGUUGAUACUGGCCAUCACCUUGUGUCACAAUACCAGUGGCCGCAGAGAUUUAAAUAAAUGCAUCCCAGAUACAGAGUUAAAAGCAUGCCAACAAUGAGGGCUGUGUGGUUUGGAGAAGAGCAGAACACACUGCUUUCAGUCAGGCAGAGGCAGAUUAGAUUGCCUGCCACCUCCAGUGGGAUGCUGGCUCCGGACAGUCACUCACCUUCUCUAAAACCCACCCCACCUAGUCUAUAAAAUGCAGAGAACGAACGAUGCCUACUCCACUGAAUUGUAUGAGCAUUAGAAAGGGUGUGUGCAAAUCACCUGACAUUUGGCAGAAUUCAUUACAUGCCAGCUGUUAUUGAAAGUAAUUGAAAUGUUGUCAAGCUAGUCAGAGGAAGAUUUCUAACUAAAAGCUAUACUAGCGAAAGCACUGAGAAUAGAGUGUAAUAUCUCCUAUUAAAAAACACAUACGUAUACAUAAUACAUGUAUGUAAAUACUCAAUAUUUUUAUAGAUAGUUGUCUAAUGAGAUCUUCCUAAUACUAGUAUUAGAAAACAACUUUAUAUUACUUAUAUGAUUAAAAUAUAUACAUAUACACAAUAAAGUUGAAAAGUUUUCUCAAUAAAUAAAAUAUAUACAUAUACACAAUAAAG